CUACGGGAGGCAGCAGUUAGGUAUAAUCUACAAUGCGCGCAAGCGUGAUAGUUCGAAUCAGAGUGCUUCUCUUUUGAGGAGCUUUUGUGAAAUGUAAAAAGUUUCAAGAAUAAGGACUGGGUAAGACGAGUGCCAGCCGCCGCGGUAAUACUCGCGGUCCAAGUCGCAGCCACAAUUAUUGGGUCUAAAACAUCCGUAGCUUGUUUAGCAAGUCUCUUGUGAAAUCCUAUAUCUUAAGUAUAGGGCGGGCAGGAGAUACCACUAAACUAGAGACUGGAAGGCGUAAGGAGUAUGUUUAGAGUAGUAGUAAAAUGCUUUAAUCCUAAACAGACUAACAACAGCGAAGGCACCUUACGAGGACAGUUCUGACAGUGAGGGAUGAAGGCUAGGGGCGCAAAACGGAUUAGAUACCCGUGUAGUC
rnacentral:rRNA from 1 species